CCUACGGGUGGCAGCAGUGAGGAAUAUUGGUCAAUGGACGGAAGUCUGAACCAGCCAUGCCGCGUGCAGGAAGACGGCUCUAUGAGUUGUAAACUGCUUUUGUACAGGGGUAAACCUGAAUACGUGUAUUCCGCUGAAAGUACUGUACGAAUAAGGAUCGGCUCACUCCGUGCCAGCGGCCGCGGUAAUACGGAGGAUCCAAGCGUUAUCCGGAUUUAUUGGGUUUAAAGGGUGCGUAGGCGGAUUGAUAAGUUAGCGGUGAAAUGUCCGGGCUUAACUCGGGAACUGCCUCUAAUACUGUUGACCUAGAGAGCAGAUGCGGUAGGUGGAAUGUAUGGUGUAGCGGUGAAAUGCUUAGAGAUCAUACAGAACACCGAUUGCGAAGGCAGCUUACCAAUCUAUAUCUGACGUUGAGGCACGAAAGCGUGGGGAGCAAACAGGAUUAGAUACCCCAGUAGUC
rnacentral:rRNA from 1 species